GAUGAACGCUGGCGGCAGGCUUAAUACAUGCAAGUUGAACGGUAACAUGUUGUAGCAAUACGAUGAUGACGAGUGGCGCACGGGUGCGUAACACGUGUGUAACCUACCUUAUACAGGAACAUAACGUUGAGAAAUCGGCGCUAACAUUCCAUAAUAUUAUUUGUAGGCAUCUAUGAAUAAUUAAAACUCCGGUGGUAUAAGAUGGGCACGCGUUCCAUUAGCUAGUUGGUAAGGUAACGGCUUACCAAGGCAACGAUGGAUAGGGGUUCUGAGAGGAUAAUCCCCCACACUGGAACUGAGACACGGUCCAGACUCCUACGGGAGGCAGCAGUAAGGAAUAUUGGGCAAUGGAGGCAACUCUGACCCAGCCAUGCCGCGUGCAGGAAGACGGCCCUAUGGGUUGUAAACUGCUUUUAAUAGGGAUUAAAGUCGACUACGUGUAGUUGUUUGCAAGUACCUAUAGAAUAAGCAUCGGCUAACUCCGUG
rnacentral:rRNA from 1 species